UCCCUUGUAGCUUAGUUGGUAAAGAAUCUGCCAGCAAUGCAGGAUACCUGGGUUCGAUUCCUGGGUUGGGAG
rnacentral:tRNA from 1 species